UGCUUCGUAGUUUUCGCGAUUUCCAAAUGAAUUUAAUUGGUGAUGUCAUCUGGUUCGAGAGGGCUGUGUGUGUUGGUGCUUCAGAGUCACCAUCCAGUCAACGUGUUGUAACCACCAGCAACACAGGCAGUGGAGCUCCCAAAUAAAAAGGCGCUUUUAGUUUUUGGUUCAUGGCAUGGGAUAUUUUCAACAAUGCUGCAGUGACGAAGAUCUGAGGACCUUGAGAACUAGUUGGACGUUUUCUAAAGGAAUGUUGAAGCCACAUUGUGUUCACAAUAGAUUUUAAUUUGAAAAAUAGUGUGUGGGUUUAUAUGGAUUAUGCAUGCUGAAAUGUAUAUAUAAGAAAUAUACAUGACUGUGCAUGAGCACAACCCUUAGCUUCAACUAGGCUGUAACAAGCCUCCCCCCCCUGUUUCUGCAGUUUUAUCCAUACCGCUGACUGUGAAGCUACCUUUGCUAUUCGUAGUACGUGGUUGCAGGGCGUAAAGAGAACGGACAAUCGCACCGGACCGUUCCGGGGUUCGGAUGAGGUGUUUGAAUAGAUUCUUUGAUUUUAGAAUUCCAUCGACCUUUCUAUCCAUUAUUUUCUACAGAAGUGAUGCAAAUGUGUUAGCAAUGAGGUUGUUCUUCGUGGGAUUUCUACUCGGUUUGGAGAUCCUGUCUCCUACAGGAGCUAUUGAUGCUCCGAAGACCUGCAGUCCUAAGCAGUUUGUGUGUAAGGACCAGGUGACAUGCAUCUCUAAAGGAUGGCGCUGCGAUGGAGAGAAGGACUGUCCGGACGGAUCAGACGAAGCGCCUGAUAUCUGUCCACACAGAGUGUCCCGGUGUCCGGCCAAUGAGUUUGAGUGUCUGGGGACAGAUGUGUGUAUCCACAUGAGCAGGCUGUGUGAUGGGAGCCCUGACUGCACUGACGGCUGGGACGAGGGGCCACACUGUCGAGAGCUCGGACCAGACUGUGCCACACAUGGCUGCACGGGAAACUCUCUCUCAAGGGCCCUGUUACUGCCCGGUCGGCUCUGAAAUCAGCCAGGACGGAAAGACAUGCAAAGAUUUCAACGAAUGUAGUGGGUACAGGACCUGCAGUCAGACGUGCUCCAACAAUGAGGGCUCCUACACCUGCAGCUGUGUGGAGGGCUACCUACUGCAGCCAGACAACCGCUCCUGCAAGGCCAAGAAUGAUCCUGUGGAGCAGCUGCCGGUGCUGCUGAUCACUAACCUAAAUGACAUCCGCUGUACGUCUCUGAGCGGCAUGCCGACCCGCCUCCCAGCAAUAAGCACCAACCAGACCACUGCCAUGGAUUUCAACUACGCCCAGGAGACGGUUUGUUGGAUCGACGUGGGCGACUCGCCCGCCAACACCCAUCUGAAGUGUGCCUCCAUCCCAGAGCUGAAGACUGUCACUGACAUCAGGAUCAUUAACAUCUCUCUCAGCCUGCACCAUGUGGGUCAGAUGGCUAUUGACUGGCUGACCGGGAACUUCUACUUCGAGGACAACAUGGACGAUCGUAUCUUUGUGUGCAACGCCGACGGCCAGACGUGUGUCACCCUGCUGGAUCAGGAGCUCUACAACCCUAAAGGCAUCGCCCUGGACCCCCUCAUGGGCAAGGUGUUCUUCACAGACUACGGUCAGACCCCCAAGGUGGAGCGUUGUGACAUGGACGGUCAGAACCGGACCAAACUGGUGGAAAGUAAGAUCGUGUUCCCCCACGGUAUCACCCUGGACCUGGUCAACCGGCUGGUCUACUGGGCCGAUGCCUACCUGGACUACAUAGAGGUGGUGGACUACGAGGGCCAGAACAGACACACCAUCAUACAGGGCCUGCUGAUUGAACAUCUGUACGGGCUGACGGUGUUUGAGAACUACCUGUACGCCACCAACUCUGACGAGGGCAACCUGAACCACGCGAAGACCAGCGUGAUCCGGGUCAACCGCUUCAACGCCUCUGACUUCACGGUGGUGACCCGAGUGGACCGCGGCGCCGCCCUGCACGUGUACCAUCAGAGACGUCAACCCCCGGUGAGAGAGAAGAGUCAUGCGUGUGCCCCGGACCAGUUUAAGAAGCCAGGAGGCUGCUCCGACAUCUGUCUGCUGGGGAACAGCCACAAGACCCGGACCUGUCGCUGUCGUUCUGGAUUCAGCCUGGGCAGUGACGGGAAGUCCUGCAAGAAACCUGAACACGAGUUGUUCCUGGUGUACGGUAAGGGCCGCCCUGGCAUCAUCCGUGGCAUGGACAUGAAUGCCAAGGUCCCCGACGAGUUCAUGAUCCCCAUUGAGAACCUGAUGAACCCGCGGGCGCUGGACUUCCACGCCGAGAGCGAGUUCAUCUACUUCGCUGACGCCGUGAGUUACAUCAUCGGGCGGCAGAAGAUUGACGGCACGGAGAGGGACACCAUCCUGAAGGAUGGCGUCCACACCGUGGAGGGGAUAGCGGUAGACUGGAUGGCAGGUAACCUGUACUGGACCGACGACGGGCCCGUGAAGACCAUCAGUGUGGCCAGGCUGGAGAAGGCCUCUCAGACACGCAAGACCCUCAUCGAGGGCAAGAUGACCCACCCCCGCGCCAUCGUAGUGGACCCCCAGCACGGGUGGAUGUACUGGACAGACUGGGAGGAGGACCCCAAGAAGAGUAACCGGGGGAAGAUCAAGAAGGCGUGGAUGGACGGCUCUCACGACCAGGUCCUGCUGACCAGUAAGACAGUGCUGUGGCCCAACGGCCUGAGUCUGGACAUCCCGCAGGGCAUCCUGUACUGGGUGGACGCGUAUUACGACCGCAUCGAGAUGGUUUACCUCAACACCACCGAGCGCAAGAUGGUGUACGAGGGAAACGAGUUAAACCACGCCUUCGGCCUGUGUCACUACAAGCAGUACCUGUUCUGGAACGAGUACCGCGGCGGCAGCAUCUUCAAACUCGAUAUCUCCACCAGCACCGUCACGCUGCUCCGCAACGAACGCCCCCCCCUCUUCGAGAUCCGUGUGUAUGACGCUCACCAGCAGCAAGGGACCAACCUCUGUCGCGUGAAAAACGGUGGCUGCAGCAGUCUGUGUCUGGCCAUCCCUGACGGCAGGUCCUGCGCCUGUGCCGACGACCAGAUACUGGGCGACGACAAUGUCACCUGUAAAGCCAACCCCACCUACAUCCCUCCUCCUCAGUGUCAGCUCGGGGAGUUCUCCUGUAACAACAACCGCUGCAUCCAGGAGCGAUGGAAGUGUGACGGGGACAACGACUGUCUGGACAACAGCGACGAGGCGCCCGAGCUCUGCCACCAGCACACGUGUCCAUCGGACCGGUUCAAGUGUCAGAACAACCGCUGUAUCCCGCUGCGCUGGCUCUGUGACGGGGACAACGACUGUGGCACCUAUGAGGAUGAGUCUAAUACUACCUGCUCAGCUCGUACGUGCCCGCCCAACCAGUAUGCGUGUGCCAGUGGGCGCUGCAUCCCCACUUCCUGGACAUGUGACCUGGAUGAUGACUGUGGGGACCGUUCUGAUGAGCCGGCCUCCUGUGCCUAUCCCACCUGCUUCCCCCUCACCCAGUUCACCUGUGCCAACGGACGCUGCAUCAACGUCAACUGGCGCUGUGACAACGACAACGACUGCGGGGACAACAGUGACGAGGCAGGCUGCAGCCACUCCUGCUCCAGUGUCCAGUUCAAGUGUAACAGCGGCCGCUGCAUCCCGGAGUACUGGACCUGUGACGGGGACAACGACUGUGGAGACUACAGCGACGAGACCCACGCCAACUGUACCAACCAGGCAACGCGUCCUCCCGGGGGUUGCCACGUGGAUGAGUUCCAGUGUCGCAUGGACGGCCUGUGUAUCCCCAUGCGCUGGCGCUGCGACGGGGACACCGACUGCAUGGACCUGAGUGACGAGAGCGACUGUGAGGGUGUGACGCACAUGUGUGACCCAGCCGUCAAGUUCAGCUGCAGAAACUCCGCUCGUUGUAUCAGCAAGGCCUGGGUGUGUGACGGGGACAGUGACUGUGAGGACAACUCGGACGAGGACAACUGCGAGGCGUUGUUGUGUAAACUGUCCCACCACGUCUGUGUCACCAACGACUCGAUCUGUCUGCCCGUCGAGAAGCUGUGUGACGGCACUGACGACUGUCCCGACGGCUCUGAUGAGAAACUCUGCGACCUGUGCUCCAUAGACAACGGCGGCUGCAGCCACAACUGCUCCAUCAUCCCUGGGGAGGGCUUCAUGUGUUCCUGCCCCCUGGGCAUGGAGCUGGGCGCCGACAACAAGACCUGCCACAUCAUGAACCUCUGCGCCAAGCACCUCAAGUGCAGCCAGAAGUGUGAGCAAGAGAAGAGCAGCGUCAAGUGUUCUUGCUACGAGGGCUGGGAGCUGGAGACCGAUAUGGAGAGCUGCAAGAGCACUGACCCCUUCAAGCCGUUCAUCAUCUUCUCCAACCGCCAUGAGAUCCGUCGUAUUGACCUCCACAAGGGAGAGUUCAGCGUGCUGGUGCCUAACCUGAGGAACACCAUCGCUCUGGACUUCCACCUCAGCCAGAACACCCUCUACUGGACCGACGUGGUGGAGGACAAGAUCUACCGCGGGAAACUGUCCGAGAACGGAGCUCUGACCACCUUCGAGGUGGUGAUCCAGUAUGGCCUGGCCACUCCAGAGGGUCUGGCUGUGGACUGGAUAGCAGGGAACAUCUACUGGGUGGAGAGCAACCUGGACCAGAUCGAGGUGGCCAAGCUGGACGGAACCAUGAGGACCACUCUGCUGGCUGGAGAGGUGGAGCACCCCCGGGCCAUCGCCCUGGACCCCCGAGACGGUAUUCUGUUCUGGACGGACUGGGAUGCCAGUCUGCCCAGGAUCGAGGCAGCAUCUAUGAGCGGUGAGGCCAGGAGGACCAUCCACAGAGAGACUGGCAGCGGUGGCUGGCCCAACGGACUGACUGUGGACUACAUGGAGAGACGCAUUGUAUGGAUCGACGCCAGGUCUGAUGCCAUCUACUCUGCUCUGUAUGACGGCUCUGGUCUGAUCGAGGUGCUGAGGGGUCAUGAGUACCUGUCCCACCCCUUUGCGGUCACCAUGUACGGAGGAGAGGUGUACUGGACAGACUGGAGGACCAACACCCUGGCCAAGGCCAACAAGUGGACCGGCAACAACGUAACCGUGGUCCAGCGCACCAACACACAACCCUUCGACCUGCAGGUGUACCAUCCCUCCAGACAGCCCCAAGCUCCUAACCCUUGUGCCACCUCUGAUGAGCAGAGCCCCUGUUCUCACCUGUGUUUGAUCAACUUCAACCAGACGUUCUCCUGUGCCUGUCCUCACCUCAUGAAGCUGCAGGCUGACAAACGCACCUGCAAAGAGUCUCGCCAGUUCCUGCUCUAUGCCCGUCAGAUAGAGAUCAGGGGAGUGGACAUAGACAACCCCUACUAUAACUACAUCAUCUCCUUCACCGUGCCAGACAUAGACAACGUGACCGUGGUGGACUAUGAUGCCGUGGAGCACCGGAUCUACUGGUCAGAUGUUCGAACCCAGACCAUCAAGAGAGCCUUCAUCAACGGCACCGGAGUGGAGACCGUGGUGUCUGCUGACCUGCCCAAUGCCCAUGGUCUGGCAGUAGACUGGGUGUCUAGGAACCUGUUCUGGACCAGCUAUGAUGCCAAUAAGAAGCAGAUCAACGUGGCCAGACUGGACGGAUCCUUUAAGAACGCUAUUAUCCAGGGCCUUGACAAACCCCACUGUCUGGUCCUGCACCCUAUAUUGGGAAAGAUGUACUGGACUGAUGGGGACAACAUCAGUAUGGCCAACAUGGAUGGCAGUAACCGUACCAUGCUCUUCACCAAUCAAAAGGGCCCUGUGGGCCUGUCUAUAGACUACGACCGUGAGCAGCUGUACUGGGUCAGCUCAGGGAACGGCACCAUCAGCCGCUGUCAGAUGGACGGCUCGGGCCUGGAGGUCCUGGACGGGGUCAAACCAGGCAGGCUGACCAAGGCGUCCGCUCUGGCCAUCAUGGGUGACAAGCUGUGGUGGGCCGACCAGGGGACAGACCAGAUGGGGACGUGUGAUAAGAGUAACGGGGGGAACUGGAAGGUGCUGCGAAACAACACCUCUCCUAUGAUGCACAUGAGAAUAUACAACGAGAGCCUGCAGACAGGUGCAGGCAUCAACCUGUGCAGUAAUAACAAUGGAGACUGUUCCCAGCUGUGCCUGCCCACCUCCUCUAGCACCAGAGCCUGUAUGUGUACUGCAGGCUACAGCCUUAAGAGUGGACAGCAGUCCUGCGAGGGUAUGGGCUCCUUCCUGCUCUACUCGGUACAUGAGGGAAUUCGAGGAAUCCCCCUGGACCCGUCUGACAAAUCUGAUGCCCUGGUGCCCGUGUCUGGCACCUCGCUGGCUGUGGGCAUCGACUUCCACGCCGAAAAUGACACGAUCUACUGGGUGGACAUGGGACUGAGCACCAUCAGCCGAGCUAAGAGAGACCAGACGUGGCGGGAAGACGUGGUGACCAACGGCAUCGGCAGGGUGGAGGGCAUCACUGUGGACUGGAUCGCAGGUAACAUCUACUGGACAGACCAGGGCUUUGACGUCAUCGAGGUGGCCAGACUCAAUGGAUCCUUCUGCUAUGUGGUCAUCUCCCAGGGCUUGGACAAGCCCCGCGCCAUCACUGUGCACCCAGAGAAAGGGUAUCUGUUCUGGACAGAGUGGGGCCAGGUCCCCCGUAUAGAGAGGGCCCGUCUGGAUGGCUCUCAGAGAUCAGUCCUGGUCAACUCCAGCAUCAUGUGGCCCAACGGAAUCUCCAUCGACUACAGGGAGGGGCUGUUGUACUGGUGUGACGCGCGGACCGACCGGAUCGAGCGCAUCAACCUGGAGACGGGAGAGAACCGAGAGGUGGUGCUGGUCAACAACAACAUGGACAUGUUCGCUGUGUCCGUCUUCGAGGGCUACAUCUACUGGAGCGACAGGACUCACGCCAACGGUUCCAUCAAGAGAGGCAACAAAGACAACGCCACGGAAUAUGUGUAUCUGAGGACCGGCAUCGGUGUCCAACUAAAGGACAUCAAGGUCUUCAACAGGGACCGGCAACAAGGCACCAACGUCUGUAAAGACAACAACGGCGGCUGCGAACAGCUCUGCCUGUACCGCGGCAACGGGGAGCGAACGUGCGCCUGCGCACACGGCAUGCUGGCCGAGGACGGCCGCGGCUGCCGCGACUACGACAGCUACCUGCUCUACUCGGAGCGGACCAUUCUGAAGAGCAUCCACCUGUCAGACGAGACCAACCUGAACGCCCCCAUCAAGCCCUUCGAGGACCCGGAGCACAUGAAGAACGUCAUCGCGCUGACCUUUGACUCCCGCGGGGGAGGGGGGAGGGGAGCCAAUCGGAUCUUCUUCAGUGACAUCCACUUUGGAAACAUCCAGCAGAUCAACGAUGACGGCUCAGACCUCAAGACGGUGGUGGAGAAUGUAGGCUCAGUGGAGGGUUUGGCGUACCACCGUGGCUGGGACACCCUCUAUUGGACCAGCUACACCACCUCCACCAUCACCCGUCACACGGUCGACCAGAGCCGACCGCAGGCCUACGACCGCAACACCGUGGUCACCAUGUCUGGAGACGACCACCCCAGGGCCUUUGUACUGGACGAGUGUCAAGAUCUGAUGUUCUGGACCAACUGGAACGAGCAGUCCCCCAGUAUCAUGCGUGCCAGUCUGUCUGGUGCCAACGUGCUGGUGAUCAUCGGUAAUGACAUCCGCACCCCCAACGGCCUGGCCAUAGACCACCGCGCCGAGAAACUCUACUUCUCCGACGCCACGCUGGACAAGAUCGAGCGCUGCGAGUACGACGGCAGCAACCGCUACGUGGUUGUGAAGAAUGAGCCGGUGCAUCCGUUCGGCCUGGCGGUGUAUGGAGACUACAUCUUCUGGACCGACUGGGUCCGCAGGGCCGUGCUCAGAGCCGACAAGUUUGUGGGCAGAGACAUGAGGUUGCUGAGAAAUGACAUCCCCCAGCAGCCAAUGGGAAUCAUCGCUGUGGCCAACGACACCAACAGCUGUGAGUUCUCUCCCUGUCUGAUCAACAACGGGGGCUGUCAGGACCUGUGUCUGCUCACCUCGGACGCGAGGGUCAACUGUAGUUGCCGUGGAGACCGCAGACUCCUGGAGGACAACUCCUGUUCGGCUCUGAACACGUCGUGUGGCAGUGUGGAUGACUUUGAGUGUGGCAACGGGGACUGCAUCAACUACAGUCUGACCUGUGACGGCAUGGCCCACUGCAAGGACAAGUCAGACGAGAAACAGUCGUACUGCGCGAACCGGCUGUGUAAGAAAGGCUACAGGCGCUGUAUCAACGGCCGCUGCAUCGGCCACAUGUUCUGGUGUGACGGGACUGACGACUGUGGAGAUCACUCCGACGAGCUGCCCUGCAACAUGACCCUCUGCAAAGUCGGAGAGUUCCAGUGUGGAGAUGGAAGCUGCAUCUCCAACACCAGCCGCUGUGACCAGGUGGUCAACUGUGAGGACGCCAGUGACGAGAUGAACUGUUUGCCAACUGACUGCUCCCGCUACUUCCGUCUGGGGGUGAAGGGGGCGACCUUCAAGAGCUGUGAGAGGACCACGCUGUGCUACCUGCCUUCCUGGCAGUGCGACGGCAACAACGACUGUGGAGACUACUCGGAUGAGAGAAACUGCCCAGACAAGAAGAAGCUGAAGUGCCCGGUGAACUUCUUUGCCUGCCCCAGUGGUCGCUGUAUCCCUAUGAGCUGGACCUGUGACAAGGAGAACGACUGCGAGAACGGCGCUGACGAGACCCACUGUGAUAAGUUCUGUACGUCCACCGAGUUUGAGUGUGGGAACCAUCGCUGUAUCUCCAACCACUGGGUGUGUGACGGCGCCGACGACUGUGGCGACAAUAGUGACGAGGACAGCAGAUGCAAAACCAAGACGUGCAGCCCCGAGGCGUUCCAGUGUCCCGGCACUCAUGUGUGUGUCCCUCAACGCUGGAAGUGUGACGGGGAUAAGGACUGUCUGGACGGGGCGGACGAGAGCGUCAAGGCUGGCUGCUUGUACAACAACACCUGCGAUGAGAAUGAGUUCACGUGCCAGGACAGACAGUGUAUCCCCAAGCACUUUGUGUGUGACCACGACGUCGACUGCUCUGACGGAUCCGACGAGUCCCCACAGUGCGAGUAUCCUACGUGUGGGCCGGAGGAGUUCCGCUGCAACAACGGCCGCUGCCUCAACCAGAGGAGCUGGGAGUGUGACGGAGAUUUCGACUGUCAGGACCGCUCUGAUGAAGCUCCCAAGAACCCCCGGUGCACAGACUCAGAGGGGAAGUGUAAUGACUCUGCCUACAUGUGUCGCAACGGGAAGUGUCUUAACGAGACGUUGCUGUGUGACCGCAACGACGACUGUGGCGACGGCUCUGACGAACUCAACUGCUUCAUCAACGAGUGUCUCAACAGCAAGCAGAGUGGCUGCUCCCAGCUCUGUGAGGACCUCAAGAUAGGCUUCAAGUGCAGGUGUCACCCUGGCUUCCAGCUGAAGCGGGAUGGGAAGACGUGUGUGGACAUAGAUGAGUGUACCACGUCCUACCCCUGUACCCAGCGCUGUAUCAACACUCACGGAUCCUUCCACUGUCUCUGUGUGGAGGGCUUCCAGCUCCGACCAGACAAUCCUACCAUCUGCAAGUCCACCUCUGAUGAGGAGCCCUUCCUGAUCUUUGCCAACCGGUACUACCUGAGGAAAUUGGACCUGAAUGGCACCAACUACACUCUGAUUAAACAGGGCCUGAACAACGCGGUGGCUCUGGACUUCCACUAUGCAGAGCAGAUGCUCUACUGGACAGACGUGACCACUCAGGGCUCCAUGAUACGCCGCAUGAACAUCAACGGCAGCAACAUCGAGGUGCUGCACCGGACCUCCCUCAGUAACCCAGACGGAUUGGCUGUAGACUGGGUCGGAGGAAACCUGUACUGGUGUGAUAAGGGGCGGGACACCAUCGAGGUGUCCAAGCUAGGAGGAGCCUUCCGGUCGGUCCUGGUGAACACCGGCCUGAGGGAACCACGCGCUGUGGCUUUGGAUGUACGCAACGGGUACCUGUACUGGUCAGACUGGGGCGACAACCCCCACAUAGGGCGGAUUGGGAUGGACAGCUCCAACCGAAGUGUGAUCGUCGAGGACAAGAUCACCUGGCCCAAUGGUCUUACGUUGGACUUCAUCAACGACCGCAUCUACUGGGCCGAUGCCAGAGAGGACUACAUUGAGUUUGCCAGCCUGGAUGGUACCAACAGACACACGGUGCUUACCCAGGACGUCCCCCACAUCUUCGCCAUGACCCUGUUUGAGGAGUACAUCUACUGGACCGACUGGGAGACCAAGUCCAUCAACAGGUGUCACAAGACCCUGGGUAUCAACAAGACCACCCUGGUCACUACCCUCCACCGGCCCAUGGACAUCCACAUCUACCACCCCUACCGCCAGCCUGAGGUGUUCAACCACCCGUGCCAGACAGACAACGGCGGCUGUAGUAACCUGUGUCUGCUGAGCCCUGGAGGGGGCUACAAGUGUGCCUGUCCCACCAACUUCUACCUGGCCAACGAUGGACGCACCUGCAUGUCCAACUGCACUGCCAGCCAGUUUGUGUGUAAGAACGACAAGUGCAUCCCUUUCUGGUGGAAGUGUGACACGGAGGACGACUGUGGGGAUCGCUCGGACGAGCCUGCAGAAUGUCCGGAGUUCAAGUGCAGGCCCGGCCAGUUCCAGUGUGGAACAGGCAUCUGCACCAACCCAGCCUACAUCUGUGACGGGGACAACGACUGCCAGGACAAUUCGGACGAGGCCAACUGCGAUAUCCACGUGUGUCUGCCCAGUCAGUUCAAGUGCUCCCACCCCAGCCGCUGUAUCCCGGGAAUCUUCCGCUGUAACGGACAGGACAACUGUGGCGAAGGAGAGGACGAGAAGGACUGCCCCGAGGUCACGUGUGCGCCCACCCAGUUCCAGUGUGCCAUCACCAAGCGCUGUAUCCCUCGCGUCUGGGUGUGUGACCGUGACAAUGACUGUGUGGACGGGUCGGACGAACCAGCCAACUGCACCCAGAUGACCUGUGGCGUGGAUGAGUUUCGCUGUAAGGACUCUGGACGCUGCAUCCCGGCCCGGUGGAAGUGUGACGGAGAAAAUGACUGCGGAGACUCGUCUGACGAACCCAAAGAGGAAUGUGAUGAGAGGACGUGCGAGCCGUACCAGUUCAGGUGUAAGAACAACCGCUGUGUCCCGGGGCGCUGGCAGUGUGACUACGACAACGACUGUGGGGACAACUCGGACGAGGACAAGUGCGUGCCGCGGCCGUGCUCCGAGAGUGAGUUUGCCUGUACCAACGGACGGUGUAUCGCCGGGAGGUGGAAGUGUGAUGGAGACCAUGACUGUGCUGACGGAUCUGAUGAGGACGGCUGUGAGCUGAGGUGUGACAGGGAUCAGUUCCAGUGUAAGAACGGCCACUGCAUCCCCAGCCGCUGGCGCUGUGACGCAGACGCUGACUGUUUGGACGGCAGCGACGAGGAGAAGUGUCACAUUGCUCCUAAACACUGCCCCCUGGAUGACUUCCAGUGUAACAACACGCUGUGUAAGCCUCUGGCCUGGAAGUGUGACGGAGAGGACGACUGUGGAGACAACUCGGACGAGAAUCCCGCCGAGUGCCGGAUGUUCCAGUGCCCCCCACCAGGACUUUCCGCUGCCAGAAUGACCGUGUGUGUCUGCAGGUGUCCAAACAGUGUGACGGAGUUGACAACUGCGGGGACAACUCUGAUGAGCUCAACUGCCAGCCCCCUCCAGCCGAGCCUACCUGUGAGAAGGACGAGUUCCUGUGUGCCAACGGGAGGUGCAUCAGCUCCAGCCUGCGCUGUAACUUCUUCAACGACUGUGAGGACUACGGUUCAGACGAGAUCCACUGCAAGACAGACACCAAGCUGAACGACUGCAGGAGCAACAGGACUCUGUGUGGGGACGGGGACGAGGCACACUGCGUCACCAAUGGGACAGACUCCUUCUGCGCCUGCAAACCAGGCUUCAGGAAGACUGGCCACAACACCUGUGGAGAUAAGAACGAGUGUAAGCAGUUUGGGGUAUGCUCCCACGUGUGCAACAACACCAAGGGCUCCUACAAGUGUAGCUGCCACAAGUACUUCACCAGGAUCAACGACACCUGCAAGGCUGACAACCUGAACAGUAGCAGACAGGUGCUCUACAUCGCCGACGACAACGAGAUCCGCAGCCUGGACCCUGGCAUGCCCAACUGGCGCUACGAGCAGACCUUCCAGGGCGACGCCAACGUGCGCAUCGACGCCAUGGACCUGCACGUCAAGACCAACCGCAUCUACUGGACCAACUGGCACACGGGCAGGAUCUCCUCUUACGAGCUUCCUUCAUCGUCGUCCUCUCCCUCGUCUGGCCCAUCGUCCAAUACACACCGCAACCGUCGCCAGAGUGAGGGAAGUGUUACCACCCUGGAGAUUGUAGGGCAUCUGGAAAUGCCUCGGGGCAUAGCGGUGGACUGGGUGGCUGGUAACCUGUACUGGACUGACUCUGGCAGGGAUGUGAUCGAGGUGGCCCUGAUCUCAGGCCAGCACCGUAAGACCCUCAUCUCGGGCAUGAUCGACGAGCCUUACGCCAUCGUAGUGGACCCGCAGAGAGGAACCAUGUACUGGGCUGACUGGGGAAACCACCCUAAGAUUGAGACGGCAGCCAUGGACGGAACCUUGAGACAGACCCUGGUCCACGAGAACAUCCAGUGGCCCACAGGUCUGGCGGUGGACUACUUCAACGAGCGUCUCUACUGGGCGGACGCUAAGCUCUCGGUCAUCGGCAGCGUGCAUCUCAACGGCUCCGACCCCGUCAUUGCCGUCACCGGCCUCAAAAACAACCUGCUCCAUCCGUUCAGCAUCGACAUCUUUGAGGACUACAUAUAUGGCGUCACCUACAUUAAUAACUUUGUGUUCCGGGUCAACAAGUUUGGCAAGGGCCCCAUGGAGAACCUGACCACUGGCAUUAACCACGCCACAGACAUAGUCCUUUACCACCGUUACAAACAGCCAGAGAUGACCAACCCAUGUGACAAGAAGAAGUGUGAGUGGUUGUGUCUGCUCAGCCCCAGUGGUCCAGUCUGCACCUGUCCCAAUGACCGCGUGGCUGAAAACGGCACGUGUGUGGAGAGACCCCCUCCCACGCUGUCUCCGUUCUCUCCCCCGUCCGGGCCGUGUACGGUCCUGUGUCUGAACGGCGGGAACUGCUUCCUGAACGCCAGGCAGCAGGCCAAGUGUCAGUGCCAGUCCAGCUUCACGGGAGAGAGGUGUGAGGUCAACCAGUGUAGAGACCACUGUAGGAAUGGAGGGUCCUGCACUGCCUCGGUCGCAGGGGCCCCUACAUGUCGCUGUCUGAAGGGCUUCACGGGGCCCCAGUGUAACCUGCACACCUGUCAGGACUACUGUCACAAUGGAGGCAACUGCACCGUAUCCCAGGGCAACCAGCCCACCUGCCGCUGUCUGCCUGAGUACCUGGGAGACCAGUGUCAAUACAGUAAAUGUGAGGAUUACUGUAAGAAUGAGGGGAAGUGUCUGCAGACUGCCAAUGCCACCAAGCUGUGUCGCUGUCCCCCUCAGUUCCACGGACAGCUAUGUGAGCAAGACAAGUGCCAGUACUGCGGCCCCAACGGCAAGUGUCUGCCCAAAGCCUCAGGAGAGGUCAUGUGCCGCUGUCCUAACGGUCAAACCAAUCACAGCUGCUACACCUGUCUAGAUUUCUGCACCAAUGGACUCUGCUCUAUCGAUCCACGCACGCAACUGCCCCAGUGCAAGUGUCCUAUAGAAUGGAGUGGGUAUCGAUGUGAAGUCAUUGCCUCGCCUGUUGAUUCUCCUGUCUCCAGUGGAAGUUCAGCCUCCGUCGUCAUCCCAGUGCUGCUGCUGUUGUUACUGGCGCUGCUGGUCGUCGGCGCCAUCUUGUGGUACAAGAGGAGAAUGCGUGGGUCUGUAUGGCCGGGAAAACGCUCCCGACGUUCUCGUGCCAAGGGCUUCCAGCACCACAGGAUGACCAACGGGGCCAUGAACGUGGAGAUAGGGAACCCAGCCUAUAAGAUCUACGAAGGGGAGCCAGACGACGAUGCUGGGGAACUCCUGGAUUCGGACUUCGCUUUAGACCCAGACAAGCCCACCAACUUCACCAACCCUGUGUACGCCACCCUGUACAUGGGAGCCCACAACAGCCGCAGCUCAUUGGCUAGUACAGACGAGAAGAAAGAGUUGCUGUCACAGGGGGACGAUGGGGAGGACGAGGACAUGAGUGACCCGCUGGCCUAGGGGUCAGGGGUCAGAGGUCAGGCUAGACCACACCCGCAAAGAGACAAACGCUGAUCUUAUGCCUUUUUACCAAUCGAGAAAAGAAACAGAAAUGAAAGCGAGAACACUGUAUAAAAUGAAGGAGAACUUUUGUAUGUGAUUUGCAGUAUUAUAUUUUGUUCUUUUGACAAAAAAAAACAAAAAAAAUUCCUCUGGUCAGAAAAAGGAAGAUGCAUUUUAUAGACAGAUUUAUUCAUUCAACUCUCUAGUUUUAAAAUGUUGCUCACCUCCAUCCUCCCUCGCUACUCCCCCCCCCCCCCCCACUUCAUCCAUAUAGCCGCUACCUCUGUGCAAAGGUGUAGAGCAAAACAAACAGCAGUGGAACAAUUUUAAGUUUUUAUUUUUGUAUGAAUUGUAUAGGGGGGAAAAAAACAUUGUUCCAUUUCAGAGGAUUUCUUGUUGUUUGUGAAAGAUGUGGAGAAAAGAGGGGGGCCAAGUUCAAUACUCAAGUCAGUUCCGAAUGCCAAUUGAUGCCGGUUCGGUCUAUGCUGGAGGUGCAGAGUGAGACCAUAGCCGAUGGAACAAAAAGAGUUCUGGAACUGUAGUUCGGGAACUAGAACCAGAACUGCAUAUGUCCACAUGACCGAGUCAGUCAGCGUCACACAUACUAAUGUCCGUUCAGUUGAGUGAUUGUCUUUUACCUCCUUGCACAGACUAAAAGUGAAAUAUAUUUACACACGCAUAUAUAUAUAUAUAUAUAUAUAACCCUAUUAACAAAGUGUCUUGACAAUAUACCCAGGAAUACAAAACAUGAAAUAACAUAUAGCAGUCUGUCUGUACUAUGUUCCACCAACUUUUCUGUUUUGGUCUUGAAUAAAUUAACGGCUGAUUUUUUAUUUUUUUUUGCUUAAUGAAAAGUCAAUGGGUUAAUGGAGUGUGUAACGUGGAGGAAUAUGAUUGUAUUGGAGCAAACAUUCCAGGGUGACAGUUCCCGGGGGAAGUAACUGAGGGGGGGGCUUGAUAUGACGGGUGAUUCAUAUUGGGGCCCAGAGGGUUCAUGGAUCAGCUCAGUGACUGUUUAUUUCAGUAUCAACUGUAACGUUCAUCCUGGAAAUAGGCAGUUUGGUACCAAGAAUGCCUCUGUGAAUACCUGCCAUUGCUGGGGGGGGGGGGG